GUGGGGAAUAUUGGACAAUGGGCGCAAGCCUGAUCCAGCCAUGCCGCGUGAGUGAUGAAGGCCUUAGGGUUGUAAAGCUCUUUCACCGAUGAAGAUAAUGACGGUAUCCGGAGAAGAAGCCCCGGCUAACUUCGUGCCAGCAGCCGCGGUAAUACGAAGGGGGCUAGCGUUGUUCGGAAUUACUGGGCGUAAAGCGCACGUAGGCGGACAUUUAAGUCAGGGGUGAAAUCCCGGGGCUCAACCCCGGAACUGCCUUUGAUACUGGGUGUCUGGAGUAUGGAAGAGGUAAGUGGAAUUCCGAGUGUAGAGGUGAAAUUCGUAGAUAUUCGGAGGAACACCAGUGGCGAAGGCGGCUUACUGGUCCAUUACUGACGCUGAGGUGCGAAAGCGUGGGGAGCAAACAGGAUUAGAAACCCUAGUAGUCC
rnacentral:rRNA from 1 species